rnacentral:lncRNA from 1 species
GAACUAUUGGGGCAAGAAUAAAAAUCAUGUUGAGGCCAUAAGAAAGGUGACUGAAACUAUAGAGGAGGUCCCUUUCUUGAAGCAAGAGCUCUAAGUAUAUCGGCAAGACAAGGAAGAACUACAAGAAAAGUGCACAGAUAUGCAACAAAAGUAUAUAGAUAUGGAGCAAAAAUACUUAGAGGUGCAGGCUCAGUUUUCUUCUCUCAUGCAGAUUAUACAAGAACUAUGUAAUUCAGCACCCAC